UACGUAGGGUGCGAGCGUUAAUCGGAAUUACUGGGCGUAAAGCGUGCGCAGGCGGUUCGUGAUGUCUGGUGUGAAAGCCCCGGGCUUAACCUGGGAAUUGCAUUGGAAACUAGCGGGCUGGAGUGUGGCAGAGGGGGGGUGGAAUUCCACGUGUAGCAGUGAAAUGCGUAGAGAUGUGGAGGAACACCGAUGGCGAAGGCAGCCCCCCUGGGCUAACACUGACGCUCAUGCACGAAAGCGUGGGGAGCAAACAGG
rnacentral:rRNA from 1 species